rnacentral:rRNA from 1 species
CUACGGGACGCAGCAGUGGGGAAUUUUGCGCAAUGGGGGCAACCCUGACGCAGCAAUACCGCGUGAGUGAAGAAGGCCUUUGGGUCGUAAAGCUCUUUUCUAAGGGAAGAUAGUGACGGUACCUUAGGAAUAAGCACCGGCUAACUCCGUGCCAGCAGCCGCGGUAAUACGGAGGGUGCGAGCGUUGUUCGGAUUUACUGGGCGUAAAGGGCACGUAGGCGGCCUAGCAAGUUAAGGGUGAAAGCCCCGGGCUUAACCUGGGAACUGCAUCCGAUACUGUCUAGCUUGAGUACAGGAGAGGAGAGUGAAAUUCCACAUGUAGCGGUGAAAUGCGUAGAUAUGUGGAGGAACACCAAUGGCGAAGGCAGCUCUCUGGCCUGAUACUGACGCUGAGGUGCGAAAGCGUGGGGAGCAAACAGGAUUAGAUACCCGUGUAGUC